rnacentral:rRNA from 1 species
GUGAGGAGUAUUGGUCAAUGGGCGAAAGCCUGAACCAGCCAUGUCGCGUGAAGGAUGAAGGUCCUAUGGAUUGUAAACUUCUUUUGCAGGAGGGUAAAGUGAGCUACGUGUAGUUCAUUGCAAGUACCCUGCGAAUAAGCAUCGGCUAACUCCGUGCCAGCAGCCGCGGUAAUACGGAGGAUGCGAGCGUUAUCCGGAUUUCUUGGGUUUCAAGGGUGCGUAGGCGGACUAAUUAGUCAGCGGUGAAAUUUUGCGGCUCAACCGUAAAACUGCCGUGUAAACUGUUAGUCUUGAGUGCGGUAGAGGUAGGCGGAAUGUGUGGUGUAGCGGUGAAAUGCUUAGAUAUCACACAGAACACCGAUUGCGUAGGCAGCUUACUGGAGCGCAACUGACGCUGAGGCACGAAAGCGUGGGGAUCGAACAGGAUUAGAAACCCUUGUAGUCC